rnacentral:rRNA from 1 species
AGUGAACGCUGGCGGUAGGCCUAACACAUGCAAGUCGAACGGCAGCACAGUAAGAGCUUGCUCUUACGGGUGGCGAGUGGCGGACGGGUGAGGAAUACAUCGGAAUCUACUUUUUCGUGGGGGAUAACGUAGGGAAACUUACGCUAAUACCGCAUACGACCUACGGGUGACAGCAGGGGAUCUUCGGACCUUGCGCUAUUGAAUGAGCCGAUGUCGGAUUAGCUAGUUGGCGGGGUAAAGGCCCACCAAGGCGACGAUCCGUAGCUGGUCUGAGAGGAUGAUCAGCCACACUGGAACUGAGACACGGUCCAGACUCCUACGGGAGGCAGCAGUGGGGAAUAUUGGACAAUGGGCGCAAGCCUGAUCCAGCCAUACCGCGUGGGUGAAGAAGGCAUUCGGGUUGUAAAGCCCUUUUGUUGGGAAAGAAAAGCAGCAGGUUAAUACCCCGCUGUUCUGACGGUACCCAAAGAAUAAGCACCGGCUAACUUAGUG